UCUCCUGUGGGCUGAGCCAGGCUGUUUAAUCAAGAAAUACUGAAUAUUUAGGCUGAGUACCAGCUUCCUCAAAUAAGGAAUUUUGUCUUACCAAGGAUCUGUGCAUCUGUUGUGUUUGAAUGAUUUAAUUUGGAAAGUGUAUUGUUGUUAUAGACCAGUUCUAAAAUUAAGCUUGCAGAAGCAUAGUGCACUUUCUCUUAAAAAAGUGUCAGAAAUAAAACCAAUUUAAGGGAAGUAUCUCGCAGAGGAUUUUCUCCAGUAAAUAAAUCGUGUUUCAGACAGAAGUGACUGAUACUGGUUUGAAAGCCUGCUGCAAAUGAAAGUUGUGUAAAUGGCUUUGAACCAGGAAACUGGUAACGCGAAGGGAAGAGUCAGACUGUGUAGAUGCAGUAUUUCUGGAGCAUGACAGGGUUUGGGUUUUUUUUUUUUUUUUUUUUUUUUUUUCUUCUUGAUUUAACAAGUUGAAAAUCUGCUGAAUAAUUCAUGAAGAGUGGAAGGGCUGAAUCUUCCUGGAAUGAUAUACAGUGUACGUAGCGUGGCACAGGAGAAACUGCAAAGCUUUGUAUCAGUUGCUACCGUUUCUGCUGCUGAUUGCAAGGUGCUGCUGCUCUUCACAUUUUCACAGCUCCAGAAGCCUCAGCCGUGCUCUGGUCUGCUCACAGCCAUCCACUCUCUAUGGACCCACCUUCGCUACCUACACGCUGUGGGAUCUCAUAGUACUGCGUGCCUUGGACACUGCCAUUCUCUCACUGCACACUGUGUGUUCUGGACCUUGCAGCCCGUAUGACUGGAACAUGCCUUAAGAGCCCCUCAGCUGCACAUCCUCCCUUGUGCUUGGUGGGGGACUCCUGCAGCAGGAUCUUCUGACCCAGACCAGGAUGGGAUUUACAGGGAGAAGCCAAAACUGAGCUGCAUUCAGCGAGAUGCCCAACGCCUCUUCCUGGAGUGCCAGCUCGCCUCUGCUGCUGCUCUGGGAGGACUCCUCUGGGACCCGCAUCUUCCUCUCGCUGCUCUACGCAGUCUUGGCUAUCUCGGGGACCUUAUCCAAUGUGAUGGUCAUCUAUUUGGUCUUCUCCUUCAAGAAGCUGCAGACAACCAGCAAUGCCUUCAUCGUGAACGGCUGCGCGGCAGACCUGAGCGUGUGCGCCCUGUGGAUGCCCCAGGAGGCUGUGCUGGGGCUGCUGCCGCCCAACUCCUCCUCCCUUCGCUCCGCAGAGUACCGGCUGCUGCGAGGGGGGCUCCUGGGCCUCGGCCUCACCGUGUCCCUCGCCUCUCACCUGCUGGUGGCCUUCAACAGGUACGUGCUCAUCACCAAGCUGCCCAGCGUGUACCAGGCCCUCUACCAGCGGAGGCACACGGGCUGCAUGAUCGGGCUCUCCUGGGCCCUCGCCCUGCUCCUGGUCCCGCUGCUGCCCGGGCUCUGGACGCCAGGCUCUGCCCAGCAGCCGCAGCGGCGGCAGACGGACGGCAGCUCCCGCUACACCGCGCUGCUCCUCGCCCUGGCCGUGCUGGGCCAGACAGCGCUGCUGUUACACUGCUACCUCGGCAUCGUGCGGCGGGUGCGGGGCAGUGCCAAGCGGGUCAGCGUCCUCAACUUCCACCUCCUGCACCAGCUGCCCUUCCCCGCCGCGCCGCCGCCGCCCCGCCGCUCCCAGCGCCGCCUCAGCAGCGUCUCCGUCCUGCUGCUGUGCUGCGUGUUCCUGCUGGGCACGCAGCCGCUGGUGUGGGUCAGCCUCCUGGGCUUCUUUCUGCGCCCGGCGCCGCCAGCGCUGCAGGCCGCCAGCUGGCUGCUGCUCUGCGCCCUCUCGGCCCUCAACCCGCUACUCUACACGUGGCGCAGCGAGGAGUUCCGCCGGGCGGCCCGAUCCGUCCUGCCCCGCGCCGACGGGCCCGCUGCCGCACCGCGGCCCGCCUCGGCCGCCGCCGGCCCCGCCGCCGCACCGCCCUGCCCGCAGCUGCCCAGGCGGCGAGGCACGGGGGGCAGCGCCAGCGGCAGCGCAGCGCCGCGCUGAGGGGCAGCGCCGGGCGGGAGCAGCCGCGUCCCCUCAGGCCGCUCCCCGCCCGCGGCCACCUCACGGCGGGGAGAAAGCAGUCCGCCGCGCCCCCCGUCAGGCCCGGAGCCCGGCACCGCUCCGCGCUUCGGACGUUCUCCUGUUGCUACUCUCUGGCCUCUCUCCUCCCUCUUUGGCCGCGCUGGCACGAAGCCCGAGGCUCCGAGGCUGAGGUGCGGGUUUCCCGCCGCCCGCUCCCCUCAGCUCCGCUUCCGGGUGCCGGCCAGGACUCCAGCCAGAAGCGGUGGAUUUAGAAAGCUGGGAUAACUGGUAAAUAUGGCAACCUACGUCACUGUUAUGCUUUAAACUGUCGUUAUGCUUUAAAGAUGUCAAUACGAGGCAGGCACCCAGACAGCUCUUUUUGAGGCUUCAUAAAAAUCUGUGUAAUCCGUUCAGAUUCUGAGGUAAUGAUUUGAGAAAGAGCACUUUUGAAGGACUGGCAAGCGUCCCUUUGCACACACAAAGUAAUAAAUCCACCAGGAACUGCUUCCUUUCUCCUGUUACCUAUCUCCAUGUUCCAUGCAAGACCCUCCUUCAUCUUUCCCUGGCAAACCUCCACACGAUGCUGUCUGUGGAAACUGUUAAAAACACGUACACCUUUGUGGUGACGUUCUGGGUAUUUUAGUUUGAAGGCUAUAUAAGGCCUGUUUUGACAAAGGCCUCUCUUUGCCUAUGGCUCUGCACUUGAUAAAACACAAUGCAAUAUGGAGAGCAGUGUUGUCCAUCCAGCCUUGUCGCCUGUGUGGUUACAGCUUGUUCUGUUUCUGUUAAAUGCAUUAUUGUUCAAGUGCGGUUUCCCAGCCUCUGCUAAAUAUAAACUAGCAGGUCCAUUGGGAAAAGUGGUGAGGGAAACAGACUGCAGUGGUGAGCCUCGUUCCCCCCAGGAAAGGACCUAAAAUCCUUCCGUUUCCUUCUCUGUUGCUUGACCACCUCCUUCUUCUCCGGCACAGCUGGUCUCUGGUGGUGAUACUUGGCACUCUGCCUUUUGGCACAAAAGACUGGGAGAAGGUGGUUUUCUGAGUCCGUGGGCAUCCAUAAGCAGUAUCACCUGAACUGUGCCAUCAUGAGAAGAAUGGACACACAGGAACAUAGCAAGGUUCUUCACAACCAGAAUAUGUUGCAUUGGGUGACAGGUAUAAAUGUGAGCUUGGCAGCUCUUGUGAGGGUGUCUGAAUGAUGGGACUAUAAGAAGGAAGAGACAAGCAUGAUGGGUGUAACAUAAAAGGCCCUCUGGCCAUAUUUUAUCAUGCUCCACACUUUGCUUGCCUUAGCUGGUGGGGUUUGCUUUAAGGGAAUUGCUUUAAGAGAGAGGGAAGAGUUUAAUUCUUUCCCUGCUAGGCACCUGUGAUGCAAUGCUGUAUCUAAAAGCCCCAUACCAAAACUUAUUUUUCUAUAUAAAAGCGUAAGGCAUCGCUACAGAAAAGAUUCUUCUUGACGUCAGGAUUUGACAAAGACAAGGAACAGAGGCUUCAAAAGGAACAUGAAAUCAUCUUGACAUCCUGAAAAUGUAUCGACAUCUUAAAAAUCACAUUAGCCACUUGCAAGGACCUGUUUCCCAGAGUCUGAGGCUUACAGAGAGCUUCUUCCUCCACCGUGGAGAUAGUGUGAGAGCCAGUGUGCCACCAGCAUCAGAAAGGUGGAGAGGUUUAGCAGGAAAACACGAACAAGAAGAUAUGCAAGGUUUAUUUUUAUCAACACUGUGCACAUAUCCUGGAGAGUGGAGGAGCCACUGUAUCCUUGUUGGAAUCUCUUAUCCUAAUCCCAGCAACUGUGCUUUUGCUAGCUUUGUGCAGCAGAUGGAGAAGGAAAACUGUUCCAACCACACCUAUACUAGUUCUGGAAAAUACUCUGGAUCACUGCUGAAGUAGAGCAAACUCCAGGGUCACCAAGGGGUAAGACCCUGUUCUACUUUGGAGCAUUUGUUCAAUGUGGAGCAAAAGGACACACAUCACCACUUUCCACUGUGGCUGAAGGAAUUGAAGACACUUGGUAACAGUACUGGGCUCAGCAGCAGAAGAAAAAGCUUUAAAAUAAAAAAAUCACGUGUCAUCCCCCUGGUUUUGACUGUGGAACGUGUUAGUCUGGAGUUAAAGCAAUAACCUGUUUCAGAAUUCAGUGUCCAAACAUCAGCUAACUGGAAUUUCUGGGCUUCUUCCCAUGUCAAAUAGCAUGCAAGUGAAAUGCCUGUAUUUUAUAUAGACUACAUUUUAAAUGCAAGCCUGUAUACAGAAUGCUCUCAUUUACAAAAACCUAAGUCAGCUAUCCUUCUGCUAUGCAUUAAUUCCAGAAAAAGCUGGAAAUCCUAUGGAAAGUUUGAUGUAAUUACAUCUGACUGUAAAUCUUUGACUGUUUUAAUAUACUCAGGUGACCUAAAUAGCAUUACGCAGAAAAGAACUUUAAUUUAAAGUAAUUAAAAAAAGAGUAAUUGUCUCAAGAUCAGUUUCUUAGAGAAAUUACUGCUCAGAAAAGUCCUGUAUGCCUUGUUCUACAGCCAUAUUCUUUGUAUUUCCACAUUGUAAAUACUCCAUGGUAAAUUGCAAUGGAAGCUCAGCUUAGCUUAACUUCUGGCUCUGUGGUACUGCUUCUUGGUUGAGAAAAUUGAUCUGACUCAGUUUUUGGCAUCUAUGCUUUACUUUUACAGCUGGUUCAUAUGUGUCCUUCUAGUUUAAUGGUGACUUUUCUUCAGUAUGAAUUUCUGUCACGCUCAAACAGCUGAUUAAGAGCUGCUGGGGCUGUGCUGCCAGUUGUCCUUUAAAAUGUCUGAGCCAGUUUUUCAAGAGGUUUAAAUGAAGGUGAUGGGAAAACCUGUUAGCAAUUCAAGGGAGGUUUUCUUGAAUUGAAUUGCUUCUUUGAUCUGGUGGUGUGCCAAGCCAGUUGUCUGAGCAGUCUGAGACUGCCCUUCCUAGAGUGGUUGUUCAGCUGGCUUCACAUACAUUAGAUAGAUCUCAUUCAAGUGCUGGAUUUAUUACACAGUGGUGCAGGUCAGCCACAUUGUUCAUGUGCAAUAGGUGCCUAUUCCUUUGCUUUUUUCUCAGGGCUUCUGGAAACAAGAGCAGCUAGGAGUUAGUAAUAGGCUGAAUAGCCAGUUGUACUGAUGUGGCUUGAAAACAGCCAUUUGAUGUAUUAUGGUGGCCUAAGUAAAUCUACACAUCAGUUUGUAGGUUUGCCUGUGCAGAAACACGUGUGGGACCUGCUUUUUAAAGCUUCAUGACUCUGCCAUCUCAGAUGGAGUUUUGUUCAUAGAUGUCUUCAGGUUGUCUGGAAUCUCCUGUGACAGUCUCAGGGCAGAAUUAAAAAUGCAGAUAUGCUUCAGGCAAGAGCUGCAUCCAUCCUGAUCUGUCCUGAAGCUGAUGAUAUGAUGGAGGAGCAAUGGCACUCUGAAAAGAGCAAGGUUCAGUGAAAUGGCUGUGCAGUGCUGUAGCUGUGGAGACAGGAGCAGCAAGGUUUCAGCAGAGGUAAUAACCAGGAAUCCUGUGAAGAUGUAUACCAAGUCACCAUGCUACUUGAUAUCCUGAAUACAGAAAGCCAUUACAGAGGGACAUGCAUGUACCUGACGACUGAAGAACAGGAAGGAGCUGUGAAACAGGGAGGUGGCGGAUCUCCAUUUUCCCAUAAUCAAGGAUCUCUAAGUGCCUUGGAGAGCAGAUGCUGGAGUUUUGUCUAAGAAGCUGUAAUUCCAGUGAGGGAAAAGUGACUUUGAUGCAUUUCAAGAUAUUUGGCUCAAAAUAAAAGCAGAUCUGAGCUCUCAUUUCAAAAUUCCCAAACAGAUUUUGAAUACUCGUAUUUGAAUUUGGCUCUUAAUAUACACUGGAGGAUGUUUCAAAAGGGAAACUUUUGUCAAUGCGAAAACAGUAGAAGCUCAGCUACCCA